UACAUACAUACAUAUAAUCACGCCUAUGUCUCGGAGGAGUCGGCAGAGACCACGGAUUUCCACUCGCUACGAUCCUGACAUACCUCUUUCGCUGCCGUCACUUUCAUAACAUUUCUCAUACACGCUCGCCGGUUUAGGGUGCUCUAUUUCCCCGAUCUGAUCAGAGAAAGUCCGCCGAGGUCUGCCCCUUCUAACUCCCUCUACUACUUCUCUCUUAUACACUCUCUUUGUCAGCCUUCUUUCUCUCAUUCUUUCCACGUGUCCAAACCAUCUCAACAUACCUUUCUCAAAUUUUGUCACUACAUCUUCGUUCAGUCCACACUUUUCCCUUAUAACA